rnacentral:rRNA from 1 species
AUUGAACGCUGGCGGCAUGCCUUACACAUGCAAGUCGAACGGUAACAGGUCUUCGGAUGCUGACGAGUGGCGAACGGGUGAGUAAUACAUCGGAACGUGCCUAGUAGUGGGGGAUAACUACUCGAAAGAGUGGCUAAUACCGCAUGAGAUCUACGGAUGAAAGCAGGGGAUCGCAAGACCUUGUGCUACUAGAGCGGCCGAUGGCAGAUUAGGUAGUUGGUGGGAUAAAAGCUUACCAAGCCGACGAUCUGUAGCUGGUCUGAGAGGACGAUCAGCCAAACUGGGACUGCGACACGGCCCAGACGCCUACGGGAGGCAGCAGUGGGGAAUUUUGGACAAUGGGCGAAAGCCUGAUCCAGCAAUGCCGCGUGCAGGAUGAAGGCUUUCGGGUUGUAAACUGCUUUUGUACGGAACGAAAAGCCCUGGGUUAAUACCCUGGGGUCAUGACGGUACCGUAAGAAUAAGCACCGGCUAACUACGUGCCAGCAGCCGCAGUAA